GUACGGGAGGCAGCAGUGGGGAAUAUUGCACAAUGGGCGAAAGCCUGAUGCAGCAACGCCGCGUGAGCGAUGAAGGCCUUCGGGUUGUAAAGCUCUGUCUUUGCUGACGAAUAAAUGACGGUAAGCAAGGAGGAAGCCACGGCUAACUACGUGCCAGCAGCCGCGGUAAUACGUAGGUGGCAAGCGUUGUCCGGAAUUACUGGGCGUAAAGAAUGCGUAGGCGGUCUUUUAAGUGGGAUGUGAAAUCCCUGGGCUCAACCCAGGAACUGCAUUCCAAACUGGAAGACUAGAGUGUGGGAGAGGAAAAUGGUAUUCCCAGUGUAGCGGUGAAAUGCGUAGAGAUUGGGAGGAACACCAGUAGCGAAGGCGAUUUUCUGGAACAUAACUGACGCUGAGGCAUGAAAGCGUGGGGAGCAAACAGGCUUAGAUACCCUGGUAGA
rnacentral:rRNA from 1 species